rnacentral:misc_RNA from 1 species
AAAUCAUUGCAAAAAAAUGACUAUUCACCCCUUCAAUUCAUGAUAAAGGCGUUCGCGGCGGGAGUGAUCUUAGCCACAGGGUUUAUACACAUUCUACCAGAUGCAUUUGAGAGCUUGACUAGUCCUUGUCUUAGUGAAGAUUUGUGGGGGAGUUUUCCAUUUGCUGGGUUUGUUGCAAUGAUGUCUGCUAUAUUUACUUUGAUGAUGGAGUCAUUUGCAAGUGGCUAUCAUAGAAGAGCUGAAUUGAGAAAAGCUCAGCCAGUCAAUAUUGGAGAUGAACAAGGACAAGAUGAGCAUAUUGAUCAUGGUCCACAAAUUUUGCUAGAAAGAUCUGAUUCUUCAAGUCUUAUGAGACAUAGAUUAAUAUCGCAGGUUUUGGAAUUGGGAAUUUUGGUUCAUUCUGUGAUUAUUGGGAUUUCCCUUGGAACUACAGAAAAU